rnacentral:lncRNA from 1 species
GGCCUCUUUUGGUGUUCUUGUUAAUCAGUGAAUGUUAGGUAAAGGCAAUUAAUAAUGACUUGGAGAGCUCUUACAAGUGUCCUUAACAACAACAUUGGAAUUCAAGAUAAUGAUAUCCAUUGUCAGAUGCACGUAUAUACAUAGUGAUGACAUAAUGAACAUGUCAUUGUGUAUCAACAGCACAAGGAUGGUCCAUGCUCACAUUUUCAACUGCUAUAUUAUUCAUCACAGUGAGCCUGGGGCAUGUCUUACCAUUUGAUAAUGGAGGUUCGAUAUUAGACAGAUUAAUAAUGUUGUAUGCAUCAAGGCAAAAAAUCAACUGUAUAUAAAGAAUUGUUGCCUCAUCGAAGUUGGAGCUGUGAUCUGGUAAACUCAGUGUUCACAUGUUUUUAGACUUUGAACAAGAAAUCUAACAGCAGAGAUGGUUCGAGAAACGUGUCAAUGAAGCGAUCUACAUCAGGGUGAAUAGACCAAUGUUGAAUAGAGAUGGUGGAAGAUUCAAUCUUUCAAUUUACUUUAUUUGAAAAAAUUAACUUGAAGGCAGGAUUGCAGAGGAGGUGGAUCAGGUAUAACAGCAUCACAAACCUCACCAUCCAUAUGACACAAUUUACCAUUAUGUGUCACGGUCAUUGUGAACAAGACAACAGUGAUCGUUGUAAACUCAAAAUCAUGAUCUGUAUUUGAUGAGUUUAUUGUUUGGACAAAUUUGCAGCAUUGAAGCAUACGAAUAAAACGUUAUGAUGAAUUGCUAUUAAGAAUCACAAUGGACUUUGUUCUGUAUUUUAUCGUCACAGUGAACUCUGAUGAAAGAUAAUUUCAAUAAUCAAUGAAUUUUGUAUUUUUAUGUUAUCAAAGAGCUCAUAAAUUAUGAUGUAUCAUAACUUAAUAAUAAUCACUGGAAUUUGUUGCCUGAAUUUCACUCUACUCACAUAUAAGGCCAAAAAAAAAAUUGUUUGUUUGCCCUCCUCCACCCGCCCCUAACUC